UACGUAGGGGCCUAGCGUUGUCCGGAUUUAUUGGGCGUAAAGCGUCCGCAGGUGGCUGUGUAAGUCUGCUGUUAAAGAGUCUAGCUCAACUAGAUACAAGCAGUGGAACUACACGGCUAGAGUACGUUCGGGGCAGAGGGAAUUCCUGGGUGUAGCGGUGAAAUGCGUAGAGAUCAGGAAGAACACCGGUGGCGAAGGCGCUCUGCGUAGGCCGUAACUGACACUGAGGGACGAAAGCUAGGGGAGCGAAUGGG
rnacentral:rRNA from 1 species